rnacentral:ncRNA from 1 species
AUCCCCGUGAGAAUGCCCACAGCCUUCUAAAGAAGCCUAGGAGCCGGUAUCAGGCCCAUUAAAUAGCCCACAACACCUUGCUUAGCCACACCCCCAAGGGAUUACAGCAGUAAUAAAUAUUAAGCUAUGAGUGAAAACUUGACUUAAUUACAGUUAAUAGGGCCGGUAAAACUCGUGCCAGCCACCGCGGUUAUACGAGAGACCCAAAUUGAUCAACAGCGGCGUAAAGGGUGGUUAAACUAAUUACUAUUAGAGCCAAAUUCUCCCCUGACUGUUAUACGUUACGGGAUGAAGAAGAACUAAAACGAAAGUAGCUUUAAAAUUUUGAAUCCACGAAAGCUAGGACACAAACUGGGAUUAGAUACCCCAUUAUGCCUAGCCGUAAACCCCGAUAAUAUAGUACAUUAAUUAUCCGCCAGGGUACUACGAGCGUAAGCUUAAAACCCAAAGGACUUGGCGGUGCUUUAGACCCCCCUAGAGGAGCCUGUUCUAUAACCGAUAACCCCCGUUAAACCUCACCCUCUUUUGUUUUGUCCGCCUAUAUACCGCCGUCGUCAGCUUACCCUUUGAAGGCUUAUCAGUAAGCAAAAUUGGUCUACCCCAAAACGUCAGGUCGAGGUGCAGUGAAUAAGAGGGGAAGAAAUGGGCUACAUUUACUAGUUUAGUAAACACGGAAGAAGUGCUGAAACGCACUUUUGAAGGAGGAUUUAGCAGUAAAGGCGGAAUAGAGUGCCCCCUUGAAACUGGCCCUGAAGCGCGCACACACCGCCCGUCACUCUCCCCGCAUAACACCCAUCAAAUAUACCUAAACAGAUAUAUUGUUAACUUAGGGGAGGCAAGUCGUAACAUGGUAAGCGUACCGGAAGGUGCUCUUGGAUAAAC